rnacentral:rRNA from 1 species
GACAGAGGGUGCGAACGUUGUUCGGAAUACUGGGCGUAAAGCGUGCGCAGGCGGUGAUGUAAGACAGGUGUGAAAUCCCCGGGCUUAACCUGGGAACUGCAUUUGUGACUGCAUCGCUGGAGUGCGGCAGAGGGGGAUGGAAUUCCGCGUGUAGCAGUGAAAUGCGUAGAUAUGCGGAGGAACACCGAUGGCGAAGGCAAUCCCCUGGGCCUGCACUGACGCUCAGUGCACGAAAGCG